rnacentral:rRNA from 1 species
AUUGAACGCUGGCGGCAUGCCUUACACAUGCAAGUCGAACGGUAACAGGUUAAGCUGACGAGUGGCGAACGGGUGAGUAAUGUAUCGGAACGUGCCCAGUCGUGGGGGAUAACUGCUCGAAAGAGCAGCUAAUACCGCAUACGACCUGAGGGUGAAAGCGGGGGAUCGCAAGACCUCGCGCGAUUGGAGCGGCCGAUAUCAGAUUAGGUAGUUGGUGAGGUAAAGGCUCACCAAGCCGACGAUCUGUAGCUGGUCUGAGAGGACGACCAGCCACACUGGGACUGAGACACGGCCCAGACUCCUACGGGAGGCAGCAGUGGGGAAUUUUGGACAAUGGGCGCAAGCCUGAUCCAGCCAUGCCGCGUGCGGGAAGAAGGCCUUCGGGUUGUAAACCGCUUUUGUCAGGGAAGAAAAGGUUCUGGCUAAUACCUGGGACUCAUGACGGUACCUGAAGAAUAAGCAACGGCUAACUACGUG